UCCUUUGUGAUGAAAUUGGUAAACAUAUAUGAUUCAAAAUCAUACGCGAAAGCUUAUCGGUUCAAAUCCGAUCAAAGGAA
rnacentral:tRNA from 1 species